rnacentral:rRNA from 1 species
GCCCUUAGAGUUUGAUCCUGGCUCAGGAUGAACGCUGGCGGUAUGCUUUACACAUGCGAGUCGUACGAGAGUUUUUAACUCAAGUGGCGGACGGGUGAGUAACACGUAAGAAUUUGCCUUUAGGAGGGGGAUAACAACUGGAAACGGUUGCUAAUACCCCAUAUGCUUUCGAGUAAAAUGGAUUUUCCGCCUAAAGAGAAGCUUGCGGCUGAUUAGCUUGUUGGUGAGGUAAUGGCUCACCAAGGCGACGAUCAGUAUCUGGUUUGAGAGGACGAUCAGACACACUGGAACUGAGACACGGUCCAGACUCCUACGGGAGGCAGCAGUGGGGAAUUUUCCGCAAUGGGCGAAAGCCUGACGGAGCAAUACCGCGUGAGGGAUGACGGCCUAUGGGUUGUAAACCUCUUUUUUCAGGGAGGAAUCAAUGACGUGUACCUGAGGAAUAAGCAUCGGCUAACUCCGUGCCAGCAGCCGCGGUAAGACGGAGGAUGCAAGUGUUAUCCGGAAUCACUGGGCGUAAAGCGUCUGUAGGUGGUCAAAUAAGUCAACUGUUAAAUCUUGAGGCUCAACCUCAAAAUCGCAGUCGAAACUAUUCGACUAGAGUAUAGUAGGGGUAAAGGGAAUUUCCAGUGGAGCGGUGAAAUGCGUAGAGAUUGGAAAGAACACCGAUGGCGAAGGCACUUUACUGGGCUAUUACUAACACUGAGAGACGAAAGCUAGGGUAGCAAAUGGGAUUAGAUACCCCAGUAGUCCUAGCCGUAAACAAUGGAUACUAGAUGUUGAACAGAUCGACCUGUGCAGUAUCAAAGCUAACGCGUUAAGUAUCCCGCCUGGGAAGUAUGCUCGCAAGAGUGAAACUCAAAUGAAUUGACGGGGAAGGGC